rnacentral:rRNA from 1 species
CAGGAUGAACGCUAGCGGCAGGCUUAACACAUGCAAGUCGAGGGGUAACGACUCCGUCUUCGGAUGGAGGUCGACGACCGGCGCACGGGUGGGUAACGCGUAUGCAACCUACCUUUUACAGGAGGAUAGCCCAGAGAAAUUUGGAUUAAUACUCCAUAGUACUAAUGAAUCACCUGGUUUAUUAGUUAAAACUCCGGUGGUAAAAGAUGGGCAUGCGUGUCAUUAGCUAGUUGGUAAGGUAACGGCUUACCAAGGCGAAGAUGACUAGGGGUUCUGAGAGGAAGAUCCCCCACACUGGUACUGAGACACGGACCAGACUCCUACGGGAGGCAGCAGUGAGGAAUAUUGGUCAAUGGGUGAGAGCCUGAACCAGCCAUGCCGCGUGAAGGAAGACUGCCCUAUGGGUUGUAAACUUCUUUUCUGCAGGAAGAAAUCACUCUACGUGUAGGGUGUUGCCGGUACUGCAGGAAUAAGCAUCGGCUAACUCCGUGCCAGCAGCCGCGGUAAUACGGAGGAUGCAAGCGUUAUCCGGAUUUAUUGGGUUUAAAGGGUGCGUAGGCGGGCUUGUAAGUCAGUGGUGAAAUGCUGUGGCUUAACCAUAGAAUUGCCAUUGAAACUGCAAGUCUUGAGUACAGUUGAGGUGGGCGGAAUGAGUAAUGUAGCGGUGAAAUGCAUAGAUAUUACUCAGAACUCCGACUGCGUAGGCAGCUUGCUAAAUUGUAACUGACGCUGAUGCACGAAAGCGUGGGGAGCGAACAGGAUUAGAUACCCUGGUAGUCCACGCUGUAAACGAUGAGCACUGGUUGUUGGCAAUACACCGUCAGCGACUGAGCGAAAGUAUUAAGUGCUCCACCUGGGGAGUACGUCGGCAACGAUGAAACUCAAAGGAAUUGACGGGGGCCCGCACAAGCGGUGGAGUAUGUGGUUUAAUUCGAUGCAACGCGAAGAACCUUACCAGGGCUUGACAUGUCCGGAACCUUGCCGAAAGGUGAGGGUGCCUACGGGAACCGGAGCACAGGUGGUGCAUGGCUGUCGUCAGCUCGUGUCGUGAGAUGUUGGGUUAAGUCCCGCAACGAGCGCAACCCACGUUCUUAGUUGCCAGCAUUCAGUUGGGCACUCUAGGGAGACUGCCGGUGACAAACCGGAGGAAGGUGUGGAUGACGUCAAGUCAGCAUGCCCCUUACGUCCUGGGCUACACACGUACUACAAUGCUGUGGACAAAGGGCAGCCAGCCGGCGACGGUGAGCUAAUCCCAUAAACCACGGCACAGUUCAGAUUGCAGGCUGCAACUCGCCUGCAUGAAGGAGGAAUCGCUAGUAAUCGCAGGUCAGCAUACUGCGGUGAUACGUUCCCGGGCCUUGUACACACCGCCCGUCACACCAUGGGAGUUGGUUUUGCCCGAAGUCGUUACUC